UACGUAGGGUGCAAGCGUUGUCCGGAAUUAUUGGGCGUAAAGAGCUCGUAGGCGGUCUGUCGCGUCGGCUGUGAAAACUCGGGGCUCAACCCCGAGCCUGCAGUCGAUACGGGCAGACUAGAGUGCUGUAGGGGAGACUGGAAUCCUGGUGUAGCGGUGAAAUGCGCAGAUAUCAGGAGGACACCGAUGGCGAAGGCAGGUCUCUGGGCAUUAACUGACGCUGAGGAGCGAAAGCAUGGGGAGCGAA
rnacentral:rRNA from 1 species